AUGGAAUGUAGCUGGGUCUUUCUCUUCCUCUUCUCAGUAUCUGUAGGAGUUCACUCCCAGGUCCAGCUGCAGCAGUUUGGAGCUGAGUUGGUGAAGCCUGGGUCUUCAGUGACGUUGUCCUGCAAGGCUUCUGGCUAUACUUUCACCAGCUACUAUAUAUACUGGAUAAAGCAGAGGCCUGGACAGGGCCUUGAGUGGAUUGGACGUAUUUAUCCUGAAAGUGGCAGUACAGGCUACAAUGAGAAGUUCAAGGGCAAGGCCACAUUGACAGUAGACAAAUAUUCCAGCAAAGCCUACAUGCAACUCAGAAGCCUGACACCUGAGGACACCGCGGUCUAUUACUGUGCAAGACCCCAACACUAUUUCAUGUUUAAAACAUUUACCACCUCAACUGUCUCUGCUUUCAUUUUAGUUCUAUUUUACUAA